UAGCUAGAUAGUUUAAGACAAAGUUUUCACACAUCUAAGGCGACUUGUGACGCACUUGUCUCUGAAGCAACUUAGCUAGUAAGUAGCCUUCUAAAAUACUGUUGUAAAAAAAUAAAAUACUGUUGUAGCCGUUUUCCUUAAGUCUAAUGCUCUCUUCCACAGACCAGUGGGCUUGAGAUGCCCUUUACAGAAGUCAGACAUUUGCACUUGGGACUGACCUGUCUGCACGGAACUAAGCCUGGACAGUGGUUCUAGAAAGUUCCGUCACUUCCUGUGCUGGGCUGAGUGUCCUCAUCCCCCCAUAAGGUGGGUGACACUGUGCUUCUCGUGGGCUUGUGAGGAUUCAGGUAACUGCAAAAUGCUUCAGGGACCUCCUGGAACAAGGCUGGCGUCAGCUGACCACAGCCAUGAUUGGCAACACUUCCUUCAAGUCUCCUGGUACCUGUUAUUUUUUUCCUAAAUAGCUUAAAUAUUUUGGUUUUCUAAAAUUAAAAUCUUAGAAAAUUUACAACAUUCCCGUGUUUCAGAGAAAGAAAACUCUUGGCUUUUGCAUACAUUAUCUUUAAAGGCAGUUUUCAUUAAGAAAAUUUUAUUUGUUUGUUUUGUUUGGCCCUAACACGCAGCUUGCAGGACCUUAGUUCCCCCACCAGGGAUCAAAUCCGCGCCCUCGGCAGUGAAAGCACCAGAGUCCUAACCACUGGACCUCUAGGGAAUUCCAAGAAAAUUUUAAGAAGGAUUUUAACUCUGAAUUGAAGAAGAAGGAGCCACUGUGAAGAGCCCAAGAGUGGAAGGCUAAUGCGGAGAACCUUGAUGCCGGUGCCAGAUUUUUUUUUUUUUUUUUUAAAUAUUUAUUUAUUUAUUUAUUUAUUUUGGCUGCUCUGGGUCUUCGCUGCAGCACACGGACUCUUAGUUGCGGCGUGCAUGUGGGAUCUAGUUCCCUGAGCAGGGAUCGAAGCCGGGGCCCCUCCAUUGGGAGCGUGGAGUCUUAACCACUGGGCCACCAGGGAAGUCCCCCCAGUGCCAGACUUUACAAGGACUAAGAGAAAUGAAAACGUAUCCGUAAAGACUUGCACACCAGUGUUCACAGCAGCGUUGCUCCUGAUGGCCAAAAAUGGAAACCACCCAACCGUCCAUCACCUGAGGAGUAGAUAAAAUGUGGUAUAUCCACACAGCGGAACACUUACUACUCAGCAGUACAGAGGAACAAAAUACCAACAUGUGCUACAACAUGAACAAAUCCCCAAAUAAUUAUAAGUGAAAGAAGCAGAUGCAAAAGAGUAUGAUUCCAUUUCUAGGAAAUGUCCAGAAAAGGCAAAUCCAUGGAGAAAGUAAGUCAGUCAGUGGCACCAGGUGGCCCACAGGCACCUCCCCCCCACACGCCUCCCCCCUGUGGCCAGCUCCCUGUGCUGGUGAGAGAGCUCUGGCAGGUGACUAGUGAGCACACACAGAAAGCUGGCCCCAACCUGGGGGCCACGGAAGGACCACAAACUCGAGCUUUAGCACCAGCCUUGGGAAAGCAAGGUACAUGAAAAGGCUCUCAACAUCACUGAUCAUCAGGGACAUGCAAAUCAAAACCACAAUGAGAUGGACUUAUAUACACGACCAAAUGUAAAACAGAUAGCUGGUGGGAAGCAGCCGCAAGGCACAGGGAGAUCAGCUCGGUGCUUUGU